rnacentral:rRNA from 1 species
GGCUAUAGGAAAUUGUUAGUGGCAGACGGGUGAGUAAUGCGUAGGAAUCUACCUAGUAGUACGGAAUAGCCAUUAGAAAUGGUGGGUAAUACUGUAUAAUCCCCGAGGGGGAAAGAUUUAUCGCUAUUAGAUGAGCCUACGUUAGAUUAGCUAGUUGGUGAGGUAAUGGCUUACCAAGGCUAUGAUCUAUAGCUGGUCUGAGAGGACGAUCAGCCACACUGGAACUGAGAUACGGUCCAGACUCCUACGGGAGGCAGCAGUGGGGAAUAUUGGACAAUGGGCGAAAGCCUGAUCCAGCUAUGCCG